rnacentral:lncRNA from 1 species
UCCCUAUGGGUCCCUAAGGGUUUCUUUUGUACCUAUGGGGUCCCUAUGGGGUCCCUAUGGAAUCCUUUAUUCCCUAUGGGUCCCUAUGGGUCCCUAAGGGUUUCUUUUGUCCCUAUGGGUCCCUAUUGGUUUCCUAUGGGGUCCCUAUGGAAUCCUUUAUUCCCCGUGGGUCCCUAUGGGUCCUUAUGGGUUCCUAUAGCUUCCUAUGGACCCCUAUGGGGUCCCUAUGGGGUCCCUAUGGGUCCCUAUGGGUCCCUAUGGGUCCCUGCGGGUUCCUUUUGUUCCCAUGGGUCCUUAUGGGUUCCUAUGGGUCCCUAUGGGUUCGUAUGGGUCCCUAUGGGUCCCUGUGGGUCCCACCCCAUAUAAUCUGUGGGUUUUUUGCAGCUGAUUGGGAUCCAGGACGGCUUCCUGUCACCCCUAUGGGUCCCUAUGGGUCCUUAUGGGUCCCUAUGGGUUCUUCUGGGUCCUUAUAGGUCUCUAUGGGUUCUUAAGGGUCCUUAUAGGUCUCUAUGGGUCCCUAUGGGUCCCUAUGAGUUCUUAAUGGUCCUUAUGGGUUCCUAGGGGUCCCUAUGGGUUCUUAGGGGUCCCUAUGGGUUCUUAGGAGUCCCUAUAGGUCUCUAUGGGUCCCUAUGGGUCCCUAUGAGUUCUUAAUGGUCCUUAUGGGUCCCUAUGGGUCCCUAUUGGUCUCUAUGGGUUCUUAUGGGUCCCUAUGGGUCCCUAUGGGUCCCUAUUGGUCUCUAUGGGUUCUUAUGGGUCCCUACUGGUCUCUAUGAGUUCCUAUGGGUCCCUGUGGGUCCCACCCCAUAUAAUCUGUGGUUUUUUUGCAGCUGAUCGGGAUCCAGGACGGCUUCCUGUCACCCCUAUGUGUCCCUAUGGGUUCCUAUGGGUCCCUAUGGCUUCCUAUGGGUCCCUAUGGGUUCUUAUGCGUCCUUAUAGGUCCCUAUGGGUUCUUAUGGGUCCCUAUGGCUUCUUAUGGGUUCCUGUGGGUCCCUAUGGGUUCUUAUGGGUCCCUGUGGGUCCCUAUGCGUUCUUACGGGUCCCUAUUGGUCUCUAUGGGUCCCACCCCAUAUAAUUUGUGGGUUUUUUGCAGCUGAUCGGGAUCCAGGACGGCUUCCUGUCACCCCUAUGGGUCCCUAUGGGUUCUUAUGGGUCCCUAUGGGUCCUUAUGGGUCCUUAUAGGUCUUUAUGGGUCCCUAUGGGUUCUUCUGGGUCCUUAUAGGUCUCUAUGGGUCCCUAUGAGUUCUUAAUGGUCCUUAUGGGUUCCUAUGGGUCCCUAUGGGUUC